GUUAUAUGGUCAAGUGAAGAAGCGCAUACGGUGGAUGCCUUGGCAGUCAGAGGCGAUGAAAGACGUGGUAGCCUGCGAUAAGCUUUGGGGAGUCGGCAAACAGACUGUGAUCCAGAGAUCUCUGAAUGGGGGAACCCACUCAGCAUAAGCUGAGUAUCUUGUACUGAAUACAUAGGUGCAAGAGGCGAACCAGGGGAACUGAAACAUCUAAGUACCCUGAGGAAAAGAAAUCAACCGAGAUUC
rnacentral:rRNA from 1 species